GUUGCCAGACAAAAACAUAUGUCAAAUCUGGAACAGGCACAUUCACCCACACAAAUAAAUACAGCUGGAAGAUUUCUCAGAACAAGCUGUUCUGGUAAGAAGACAUACCAGCCCUUGUGAUCCGGCAACUCUUGACCUGGAAGCAAUACCACCUUGAGGUCUGGCAGCAUUGACAGAAGAAGAAAGUUAAAGUUGAUUCUUCUUCAGAAUUGAAAGGGGCUGGAUAAAUGAUACUGCUAUCAAAAGGAGAAGGGAAAGUGGGUGGAAGGUGAAGGUGCCCAGAGCGAACGACAAAGGAGCGCUGAUGGAAGUAUAGGAAACUUACAGAUGCAAAAUAAGUAGUAAUAUUAGAGAUAUAUAGUAGAAAAUAGAUCAGCUUUGAUGAGACGAAACCCAUGUACAACAUCCACUUGAGGAGCUGGAUGUAAUCCAAAGCAGGACACUAUUCAUGCUCUGAAGUUGCUGAAAUCUAUUAAGAGCCCUGAAGCUGUAAAGUGCCGAAAUAGAUAAGGAGGUGCUAUUUUUUUAGCUUAUAUUGAGUUUUGCUGGUGGCCCAGGACAGAAAUGUUAUCAGGAGAGCAAGACGGUGUAUUGAAACAGCAAGUAGCUCAAAGGGUGGGAUCUUCCUAACGGACCAAUCACUAAAUAGAAUCUACACAAACCCACUUUAAACAAUAAUGUUUUAUAAAGUAUGUGUAAAUGUUAAUAAGAGUAUGAACAUAUCUGGAAAAGUAUUUACAUGCACUUAAACAAAGUUUUAAAACUUGAGAAAAACAAUCCAGUGCCCACGGAAGAGAGAGAAGAAAAUUGGGCUGAUGUCUCCUACAUGGUGUGCUAGGAUACUGGGAGACACAGAUAGAAACGGAAACAAUCCUUUUAGACAGAGUUUAGGGGCAAGCGGUGCGCAGGUCUGUUUCAGUGUGCAGAUCUGUUUGAGAGAGUGAAGCAGAUCACUCAGAAAUGGCUCGUACCAGCAGUGCAGGUUAGUAGUCUCUGGAACAGUUAUGCAGAAUAUAAGUCAUCCUGAAUAGUUUAAUGUCAAUAACAGAAAAGCUCCAGUAACAGAAAGCUGUGAAAAAUGAAUUUAAUGAACCUAUGUCAAGAAAUGAAAGGGGGAAAAAAAGUUUUCUGACAGUCACAAGUACGUAUUUACAGCAAGAAAACAUGAACAUGUUAUGGUGUGAUUAGAUAUUACAAUCAUGUGUACUCCUCUGGAAUGUAAACUGUGGGAACACUGUUGUUUGGAGAUAUGGGUGAGUGAAUGUGUAAUCUUUUGAUUGGAAACUUGUCAUCAGCAUAAACAGUGUAAAACCAAUUGUUUUAGUAGCAAAGUUUAAGUUGUGUGCCAUAUUUGAUGGGUCCACCUUCCAUGCAUACAUGCAUAAAAGUUUAAACAGAGAAACUGGCCUGAUUUCAUCUGAAAGAGGGAUUAAAUGGUUAAACCUCCUUUUUAUGAAAUAAAGUGAGUUCUGUCAGCAUUUUGUUUGAGUAUCUCUGGAAGAGACAUGAGCUAAAGAAACAGAACUGCAUGAAUGGAGAACAAUUAAAGCCCUGUCCACUGACAAGGAACUUUAAAGUGCAUACAGGGUGACACUUCACCAAGGUUUGAGUAUUUGUUAAGGUUGUUAUCGAGGUGAAAAAAAUUGAAUCUUUGUGAUAUUUGUAAUAGGACCAUUUUAAAUAUUUCUAACAUAGUUUAUGCCUCUGUAUUUCUUUUGAUGUUCUUCUUGUGGUUAUGUGAAGGAACUCACCAUGGUAAAUAAACUGCAAAAAUAAAACUUACGUCUAUCAA